CGCGCGGGUCUGCGAAUGCCGAGCGCGGACUGCUUGGAAAAGGACAGCGGGCGCGAGGGACGGAGUGGGGUUGUGACGUCACCGCCUAAGGGAGACGUGCGUGAACGUGUCCUCCCCCCCGCCACCACCCUUCCCCUGGAUCUUGCUGGGUGUGGGAGCUUUCCUCAACCCCCACGGGCUGACAGCCAAGACGGGAGCCACCCACCCCACGAUCCUCCGGG